CGGACGGGUGAGGAAUACAUCGGAAUCUACUUUUUCGUGGGGGAUAACGUAGGGAAACUUACGCUAAUACCGCAUACGACCUACGGGUGAAAGCAGGGGAUCUUCGGACCUUGCGCGAUUGAAUGAGCCGAUGUCGGAUUAGCUAGUUGGCGGGGUAAAGGCCCACCAAGGCGACGAUCCGUAGCUGGUCUGAGAGGAUGAUCAGCCACACUGGAACUGAGACACGGUCCAGACUCCUACGGGAGGCAGCAGUGGGGAAUAUUGGACAAUGGGCGCAAGCCUGAUCCAGCCAUACCGCGUGGGUGAAGAAGGCCUUCGGGUUGUAAAGCCCUUUUGUUGGGAAAGAAAUCCAGCUGGCUAAUACCCGGUUGGGAUGACGGUACCCAAAGAAUAAGCACCGGCUAACUUCGUGCCAGCAGCCGCGGUAAUACGAAGGGUGCAAGCGUUACUCGGAAUUACUGGGCGUAAAGCGUGCGUAGGUGGUCGUUUAAGUCCGUUGUGAAAGCCCUGGGCUCAACCUGGGAACUGCAGUGGAUACUGGACGACUAGAGUGUGGUAGAGGGUAGCGGAAUUCCUGGUGUAGCAGUGAAAUGCGUAGAGAUCAGGAGGAACAUCCAUGGCGAAGGCAGCUACCUGGACCAACACUGACACUGAGGCACGAAAGCGCGGGGAGCAAACAGGAUUAGAUACCCUGGUAGUCCACGCCCUAAACGAUGCGAACUGGAUGUUGGGUGCAAUUUGGCAC
rnacentral:rRNA from 1 species